rnacentral:tRNA from 1 species
GCCCCUGUAGCUCAGGUGGACAGAGCAUCCGCCUUCUAAGCGGGUGGCCGCAGGUUCGAGUCCUGCCAGGGGCG